rnacentral:miRNA from 1 species
AACCUUUACAUGAUAGAAAAUCCAGGAAAAACAUCUACCUUUUCUAGACAGAAAGAAAAAAGGUAGAUGUUUUCUGGGAUUUUCUAUCAUGUAAAGGUU